rnacentral:rRNA from 1 species
UACGUAGGGACCAAGCGUUGUUCGGAUUUACUGGGCGUAAAGGGCGCGUAGGCGGUAUGACAAGUCACUUGUGAAAUCUCCGGGCUUAACUCGGAACGGCCAAGUGAAACUGUCAAACUAGAGUGCGGAAGGGGCAAUCGGAAUUCUUGGUGUAGCGGUGAAAUGCGUAGAUAUCAAGAGGAACACCUGAGGUGAAAACGGGUUGCUGGGCCGACACUGACGCUGAUGCGCGAAAGCCAGGGGAGGCAAACGGG